GAUGAACGCUGGCGGCGUGCCUAAUACAUGCAAGUCGAGCGAACGGACGAGAAGCUUGCUUCUCUGAUGUUAGCGGCGGACGGGUGAGUAACACGUGGAUAACCUACCUAUAAGACUGGGAUAACUUCGGGAAACCGUAGCUAAUACCGGAUAAUAUUUUGAACCGCAUGGUUCAAAAGUGAAAGACGGUCUCGCUGUCACUUAUAGAUGGAUCCGCGCUGCAUUAGCUAGUUGGUAAGGUAACGGCUUACCAAGGCAACGAUGCAUAGCCGACCUGAGAGGGUGAUAGGCCACACGGGAACUGAGACACGGUCCAGACUCCUACGGUAGGCAGCAGUAGGGAAUCUUCCGCAAUGGGCGAAAGCCUGACGGAGCAACGCCGCGUGAGUGAUGAAGGUCUUCGGAUCGUAAAACUCUGUUAUUAGGGAAGAACAGAUGUGUAAGUAACUGUGCACAUCUUGACGGUACCUAAUCAGAAAGCCACGGCUAACUACGCG
rnacentral:rRNA from 1 species